rnacentral:rRNA from 1 species
GAUGAACGCUGGCGGCGUGCCUAAUACAUGCAAGUCGAGCGAACGGACGCGAAUCUUGCUGCUCUGAUGUUAGCGGCGCGGGUGUGUGUAACACGUGGAUAACCUACCUAUCAGACUGAUAUAUCUUCGGGAAACCGGAUCUUAUCCCGUAUAAGCUCUUGAACCACAUUGUGGAAAAGUGAAAGACGGUGGUGCGGUCACUUCUAGAUGGAUCCGCGCUGUAUUAGCUGGUUGGUAAGGUAACGGCUUACCAAGGCAACGAUGCAUAGCCGAACUGAGAGGCUGAUCGCCCACACGGGAACUGAGACGCGGUCAAGACUCCUACGGGAGGCAGCAGUAGGCAAUCUUCCGCAACGGUGGAAAGCAUGACGGAACGACGCCGCGUGAGUGAUGGAGGCGUUGCGAUCGUGAAACUCUGUUAUUAGUGAAGAACCGAUUUGGAAGGAGACGAAGAGAUAGUGACGGUACCUAGUAAGAAAGCCACGGCUAACUACGUG